rnacentral:lncRNA from 1 species
AGCAAAGCGAGCCGAGCCGAGCCGAGCAAGCAAGAAUCUUGCACGGAGUGGAUUUUCGUCUUUGCCACCCCCCGAACCCUUCUUCGCCCCCUUUCCCUUUUCAUCGNUACAGGACAGCAGUCGGGGCUUGCCGUGGUAGGGCAGAUCACCUGUCGCUUUAAUAGGGAGAUUUUUUUUUUUCCUUCAAAGAAAAAGAAGAAGAAGGGGGGACGAACGGAACUGCCCGGAGAGUGUCGCCUCUUAUUCUGUUGAAUAUAUAUGUGUAUAUCUCGAUCGAUUUGGACCCAACGGAAGCGGGCGUGAUUCCCGGAGAAUGAAAUUGAGCAGAGCGUCGACGAUUUGGAGGACAAGGUUGAGUUUGCCCUGGAAACUGAGAGCCUAGAAAAAAUACAUAUAUAUUCUUUCUUUUUCUUUCUUUUUUUUUUUCCUGCUGAAAGAGAGAUAAUUUGGUACAACUUCUAUAGUGCUUUAUUUCUACUCCUUCUCCUUCCACGUUUUCCUUCUCCCAUCUCCGCGCCGUUCAGUUUCGGUCUAUGGAUAGAUCACAGAAUCUGGACAUUGAGGAGCUCAAGCCUGGAAUUGAAACUGGAUAAAGAAAACUAUAGCUGAAGAGGAAAAUAGAGGCUUGGAAAACCAGCAUAAGAACAUGAAGGAAAGAAAUGAGUGUGAUCUACACCUGGGGCAGGUUCCACCUGCAUUUUAUUGAUGGGAUGUGAAACAAAAGAAAAAAUAUGUCAAGAAAAAGAUCCAUUUAUUUUAAAAAUGUGGUCCUUUAUCACACUUGUGUAACUGAACCCCUCGAUCAGUACGCUGCAAAAUUUGAAGCAUGACUUUCUGAGGAAUAGCAACAUUUCAGUUCAUGCACUGCUUGAAAAGUACACUUCUUGGAGUCCUUCAUUGACCAAGGGAAAAGAUUUUGCAAAGUUUGUACUACAGUUGAUUACAGUGGUUUUGUCGUAGAAGGAGAAUUUGGAGCUUCUUAUUUCUUGUUGUCAUUCAGUGAGAUAGAAAAAGGAGGGGAAAAUAACACUUUUAGCUUGUUCUGAAUGAUAUGAUUAUGGAUUCUUUCCCUAAGUUGUGAUUGUCUAGGGAAAUCUGUCCAUGUCCAGAAGUCUGCAGUGGGUGGUGUAACUGAUGCAGACUAUAUAAACCAAAAAAGGAUAUUUAUUGCGUAAAGGGUACAAUUUAAAGAGGCUAAGAAGUUAAAUCCUGAGAGAAGAUCCUUGCUUCCUGAUUAAAAUGUAAUUAUAAAUUACAGUGUGAAUGCUGUAAUUUUGUCAACGAUUUUGUACUCUCAAGCUCAACUUUGCAUUAAAGAGCUCUACAAUCUUUUCUCUGCCUUAGAUGUUUUCUUCAGUCUUAUUGAUGAAAAGACAACACCACUCCAAAAGCCACAGAUAUAGGA